rnacentral:rRNA from 1 species
UGGGGAAUAUUGGGCAAUGCCCGCAAGGGUGACCCAGCAACGCCGCGUGGAGGAUGAAUGUCGUAAGAUUGUAAACUCCUGUUAGAGGGGAAGAAUAGUACCGGUUGGACCGGUAUAUGACUGUACCCUCAGAGAAAGCCCCGGCUAACUACGUGCCAGCAGCCGCGGUAAUACGUAGGGGGCAAGCGUUGUCCGGAUUUACUGGGUGUAAAGGGCGCGCAGGCGGGAUAAAAAGUCAGUGGUGAAAUCCUACAGCUUAACUGUAGAACUGCCUUUGAUACUUUUAUUCUUGAGUUCGGGAGAGAGAGACGGAAUUCCAGGUGUAGUGGUGAAAUACGUAGAUAUCUGGAAGAACACCAGUUGCGAAGGCGGUCUCUUGAUCCGACACUGACGCUGAGGCGCGAAAGCGUGGGGAGCAAACA